UGCUAGCGAACUUGCCAGCCAUUGUACACAAAAAGGUCAAGUUCUCCCUCAAUACAAAGUAAUCCUUUUGUACUCCAAAAGCCAAAGAGGUCAGGAAACUCAAUGCAAAAGAGAGCAGAGCUUUAGACCUGAGAAAAGCAUGCCCGCAAUUCUCAAGACUCCACAAGAGAAAGAGAAAACCAAACCCCAAAUGAGUAAAACCAGACCAUUCAUUUGAUGCUGCCUGACCCCAAGGAAGGGGUGCAGCCUCAUGCAAGGCCCUUGCUGAGAGCCAUUCCAGGAGAUGGAUUCAGCUAUGAGGCGCCGACAGCUAGCAGUGUAGCUGCGAGGAUCCGAAUAUCCACCACAGCCUGCUGUGCAACUCUGAGUCAUAUUUAAAACUCAAAACCUACUAAGACAUGUUGAGACCCAAUGCUUGCUAAUGUUCGUCUGUUUUUGGAGUUGGUGUCUGGCUUCUCCACCAGUUGUGAGUUCCUGGAAAGGAGAUCUCAAGACCUAUUUCAUUUUCCUCCUAGUGAAGGAUGAUAUUCAUAAUAGUUGAUGCUCAGUACAGCAUAGGCACUGACCAAUUCAAACUGACACAGGUUUUAAGCAAUUUGCAUGGCAAUAUUGCUGUAUAGAGCUGAAUAUUUGUUCUACACAUAGAAGGCAUCCAAUAAACAAUUUUGAAUUGAAUUUUA